CCCGCCAAGGCCUUCAUGGCUAUAGGAGCGGCGAGUCUGAUUAGCUAGUGAUGGGGUAAGUCAACCAAGGCGACGAUCAGUAGCUGUCUGAGAGACGAUCAGCACACUGGGACUGAGACACGGCCAGACUCUACGGGAGGCAGCAGUGGGGAAUUUUGGACAAUGGGCGAAAGCCUGAUCCAGCAAUGCCGCGUGUGUGAAGAAGGCCUUCGGGUUGUAAAGCACUUUUGUCCGGAAAGAAAUGGCUCUGGUUAAUACCUGGGGUCGAUGACGGUACCGGAAGAAUAAGGACCGGCUAACUACGUGCCAGCAGCCGCGGUAAUACGUAGGGUCAAGCGUUAAUCGGAAUUACUGGGCGUAAAGCGUGCGCAGGCGGUUGUGCAAGACCGAUGUGAAAUCCCCGAGCUUAACUUGGGAAUUGCAUUGGUGACUGCACGGCUAGAGUGUGUCAGAGGGGGGUAGAAUUCCACGUGUAGCAGUGAAAUGCGUAGAGAUGUGGAGGAAUACCGAUGGCGAAGGCAGCCCCCUGGGAUAACGCUGACGCUCAUGCACGAAAGCGUGGGGAGCAAACAGGAUUAGAUACCCUGGUAGUCCACGCCCUAAACGAUGUCAACUAGUUGUUGGGGAUUCAUUUCCUUAGUAACGUAGCUAACGCGUGAAGUUGACCGCCUGGGGAGUACGGUCGCAAGAUUAAAACUCAAAGGAAUUGACGGGGACCCGCACAAGCGGUGGAUGAUGUGGAUUAAUUCGAUGCAACGCGAAAAACCUUACCUACCCUUGACAUGCCACUAACGAAGCAGAGAUGCAUUAGGUGCUCGAAAGAGAAAGUGGACACAGGUGCUGCAUGGCUGUCGUCAGCUCGUGUCGUGAGAUGUUGGGUUAAGUCCCGCAACGAGCGCAACCCUUGUCUCUAGUUGCUACGAAAGGGCACUCUAGAGAGACUGCCGGUGACAAACCGGAGGAAGGUGGGGAUGACGUCAAGUCCUCAUGGCCCUUAUGGGUAGGGCUUCACACGUCAUACAAUGGUGCAUACAGAGGGUUGCCAAGCCGCGAGGUGGAGCUAAUCCCAGAAAAUGCACCGUAGUCCGGAUCGUAGUCUGCAACUCAACUACGUGAAGCUGGAAUCGCUAGUAAUCGCGGAUCAGCAUGCCGACGUUUUGCCCCC
rnacentral:rRNA from 1 species